GACGAAGCGUGCGAACGUUGUUCGGAAUCACUGGGCUUAAAGGGCGCGUAGGCGGGCUAUCAAGUCCGGGGUGAAAUCCUCCAGCUCAACUGGAGAACUGCCUCGGAUACUGAUGGUCUCGAGGAGGAUAGGGGCACACGGAACUGUGGGUGGAGCGGUGAAAUGCGUUGAUAUCCAUAGGAACUCCGGUGGCGAAAGCGGUGUGCUGGAUCCUUUCUGACGCUGAGGCGCGAAAGCCAGGGGAGCAAACGGG
rnacentral:rRNA from 1 species